AUGACGGUGGUGGUGGCCGCAGAUCCCAAUCUGGAGAAUUUCUUCGACCAACUGGAUCUCAAUGAGGAAGAAUUUGAUGAUGUGGAGAUCGAUGAAGAGGACCCGGAGAUCAAGGAAAGCGUCUGUUGGCUAGCCCUAGCUAGGGUUCAUACCAACAAAACCUUUUCUUCAUCGGCCUUCUACAAGGAGAUGAGGGCGGCUUGGAACCCUGCGCAAGGUGUUAGAUUCUGGCCGGUCGAGCCGAACAGAUUCGUCGUCCAGGCCUCAUGCUUGGGGGACUGGGAACGGAUCAUGAAACAAGGCACAUGGUUAUUCGCAAACAUGGCGAUGCUUCUAUGCAUGUACGAUGGAUUCAGUCGGGCUAAAGAUGUGGUGUUUGAUCACAUGCCAAUAUGGCUUCAUAUUCACAAGCUCCUGGACCCCUAUUACAAGGAACACAUUAUCGAGAAGCUGUUGAAGGGUGCAGGGGAUAUCUUGGAGAUGUGGCUAAACGGGAACACGAGAGGUGAUUAUGUGAGGAUUAGGGUGAAUCACAACAUUAAAACCCCCCUUACUAAGUUCGUCAGUAUUGUGCGAGCAAGGGAGCAACAAGUGUACCUUGUUCGAUAUGAAAAACUCGCUCGUUUUUGCAAGGUGUGUAGGCUGAUAAGCCAUGAUCAUAAGGAGUGUGGUCUGGGUAUACAUGAUAAGAAACAGAUGAAGUUCGGGGACUGGCUGUACGUGGAGGGGCCGUCCAGCCAGGAUAAGGCGCUGCGGUGA
rnacentral:rRNA from 1 species